rnacentral:rRNA from 1 species
UACAGAGGGGGCAAGCGUUGUUCGGAAUUACUGGGCGUAAAGGGCGCGUAGGCGGCCUGCUAAGUCGAACGUGAAAUCCCCGGGCUCAACCCGGGAACUGCGUCCGAUACUGGCAGGCUUGAAUUCGGGAGAGGGAUGCGGAAUUCCCGGUGUAGUGGUGAUAUGCGUAGAUAUCGGGAGGAACACCUGUGGCGAAGGCGGCUUUCUGGGCCUUACCUGACGCUGAGACGCGAAAGCGUGGGGAGCGAACCGG